ensembl:lincRNA Gm38404 predicted gene, 38404
GAUACCCAGAGGCAUGGACAGACUCCAGAAGAGACCAACUGGAAAAAUGAGUGUCAGCAAUGGUACCCUGGUGUUGGGAGGCUUACAAACGCCCCCCCUUCCCUAUAUGAGCUACACACCACCCUCCUAAGAGUACCCAUCCUCUGGCUGUGUUCUUUCUCCUUGAACGCCAAUCAGAGUAAAAGUUUACCUACAGCCCACGUGGGGUGGGAAUUCCGUCGGCAAACACAAGAAACCUUGGCUCUAUCCACAAGACAGGUGGCAGGUGAAGGACCGGGAGUUGGCCCCUGGAAACCACUGAUCUUUUUACAGUGUCCACAGCUUUGUCCCCUCUAGGAUACUAUGAAAUGUUAUGUUAUGAAGUUUGAAUCGUGCAGCACAUAAGCAUUCCAGAUUUGUCGCCUGCACUUAUGAGUGUGUCAUAAGGAGUUGUCCACGUCUCUUCAUGAUGGCUCUAGAGAUUGGCAGGAGGUUUUGGAAGUGGUUGAUUGAUGCCUCGGCCCAUUUGUGAACUCUUCUUCAGAUGGCCUGCAGGUUCCAUUUAAGUCUCUCACGAGAGAGUCAACUUAAAUCCAUGGAGAUAGGCAUAAUUGGCCCUAGUCUACAGACUAUGCAUACGGCAUUGGUGAAGACAGAACUUCCUGCUUAAGGCCACAGUCGCCAAGUGGCGGAGAUUAACCCUGGCUCCUGCUGGCUCCAGGCUGUGCUAACCACAGUACUGAUGUCUCUGACUUCCCACAAAUGGGUCAGUUAUUGCUUCUAUGAUGGUUUGAAUUGCAGGCAUCAGACAAACAAUCUUUCUGUCUGUUUUUCACUUUUCAAAGCAGUGUCUGUAGUAGUCGUAUGAAUUAUUAACAGUUUUUUUCCUUUUUUUAUGUUAGACAAUUUUGUCUCACUGAAGGUACAAGCAUAAGUGCACACAACACAGUUAAAAUAGAGGAGGCUAGAUUACAGCAUGGGUUAGAUUUAUUAAUACAUUUUUAAAAAGAUUUUCUCCACCUAUAGUAAAUAUAUAUGUAUAUACAUACACACACACACACACAUAUAUAUAUAUAUGUAUGCCUGUAAGUGUUUUUGCCUGGAUGUAUGUCUGUGUGCCACAUGCAUGUUCAGUGCCUGUGGAGGGUGGAAGGGGUGUUGGAUGCCCUGCAACUAGAAUUAGAGUUGGUAAUCCACCAUGUGGAUUCUGGGAACUGAACCAGGGCCCCACAAGUGCUGCUAACUGCUGAGCCAUCUCUCUAACCCCCAUUAUGGCAUUUUCAUACAUAAACAUAAUGUGUUCUCAUCACACUCACCCCCUCGACUGUCAGUUUAUUCUUCCUAACUAUCCUCCUUUCCACAUCCACGGAUUAUUUUUUCUUUUCUUUCUGUGACUCAUUGGUUUUCAUUGUUUCAGAAGUGUGUGUCCCUUGUCAGUGGCGACGCCAUGAAGAAAAUGUUUCUCCCUCCACCAUCAGUCAUUAACUGUGUUAUGUCUUCAUGGAGAGUGAGGCCUCGCUAGCUCCCUCCCUUUCCACAACAGAGUGUUGACAAAGCUUACACAGAUCUUGUUCAGAUAGUCACAGCUGCUGAGUGUUAAAGGUACAGCAGCCAUGGCAUUCCCAGAAGUCAACAUUCCACACCACCACGAAGCCACCACAAAGCCAUCACCAAGCCACUACCGUGCCGCCACCACUUGCUCUGGUUAUUACAUUUUCCUUCUUCCACGAUGUUCCCUGAGCUUUGAAGUGGGUGAUAUCCUAAGAUAUCCCACUUAGAACUGGGCACUGAGUACUUAUCAGUGGACAAUCUCCUCACGGGCUUGUCCCGAUCAUAUGUCAGGUGUGCAAACCAUGACGCCUCGCCGACAUUUUUUACUGACUUCAGAGAAAAUUUGCAUAGUGUAUCCUUCAUUUUUCACUUCCAGUAUCUGCCCCCACAAGUAGCUUUUUACACACUGUUCCAAUCAGUGGACAUGGGACAUCUCCCCACUCACUUAGACUCUUUGAUUUUUUUCUCCUCAACAUCUCGUAGUGUUCACCAUGUGAGUUUGGCACAUGCUCUGUUGAUCUCAUGGCUAAGAGUUUGGCUUUCCUUUGAGCAAGGAAGAGUGGGAUUUAUACCAUUUUACAUUUAGGAAGGGGUUAUUUCCCACUUGUCUGUUAUUGUGUUGAAGCAAAACUGAUUUCUGUGCGUUUCUCUCAUAAACUCACUGAUUAGUUUAGGAUGCAUUUUUGUAGAUUACUUGGGAUUUAGUUCUGUAGAUAAUAAUCAUGCCAUCUAAUAUAAAGACAGUUUAUUAAUUGCUGAUCUAUAGCUGCUUUUUCGUUACUCUCCCUGGUCACACUGCUAAAAGUUACAGCAAUAUAUUUACUGAAAAAAGAGUAGCCAGAGGCAAGGAUGGGGCUCAUCACUGUAAUCCCAGCACUUGGGAGUCUGAGGCAUGAGAGUUGUCACCAGUUCCAAGCCUGGGUUAUAUAGUGAAUUCUAGGACAGCCUAGGGCUCCCGAGUGAGACCUUGACU